AUUUCUACUAUUGUAGAUCUUUUUUU
rnacentral:misc_RNA from 1 species